rnacentral:misc_RNA from 1 species
GAAAUGCGAUAAGUAAUGUGAAUUGCAGAAUUCCGUGAAUCAUCGAAUCUUUGAACGCACAUUGCGCCUCCUGGCAAUCCGGGAGGCAUGCCUGUCCGAGCGUCAUUGCAACCCCUCAAGCGCGGCUUGUGUGUUGGGCGUCGCGUCCCCCGUGGACGGGCCCGAAAGGCAGUGGCGGCGUCGCGUACCGGUGCCCGAGCGUAUGGGUCUUAGUUAUCCGCUUAGGGGCCUGGCCGGUGCCUGCCUUAGCUAUCUUUAACUAUCUCGUGGUUGACCUCGGAUCAGGUAGGGAUACCCGCUGAACUUAAGC